AACAAUGGGACUUCCACAGCAAUGGGAUCUGCUUCUUCACUCAGUCUGUGUCUUUCCCAUGAGCAAGAGACUCCUAGGAGAGCCACAGCCCAUUAGGAAGCCGUGUGGGAACUCACUCACACACUGGACUCUGAAAUGGGCAUGUACAGAGAAGAGGAGACCCCACCAUGCUUCAGGCUUUGAGUGGAGAGGACACAGCCUCUGCUGGGACAGGGAACAGAGGGAUGUGGAGACCCUAAAGAUGCUUUUGGACAGUGCCUGAGGUUGGGACAGUGGCAGGAGAUACCAUUCACCCACGAUCUCCAGGACAAAGAUCAGCCUGGCAGUUACAUGUGUUUUUCUUCAAACUGGUUGCCAGGUUGGAAUGACCAAUGACAUCAGAGAUUCCAACCUUCCUGAUUGGAAGGACUGGACUCUGUGGGCUCCUGGGAGCUCAGCUGGACAACCUUCUCAGAGCUGGUCUCCACUCCUGACUUCUCCCAGCCUCGAAAAUUGACAACACACUCUUCUGGGUCUUAGCAGAGUCCAGAAGAAGGCCUUGGACAGAACAGAGACUAGGUUCCGUGGGAUGGGACAGAUUUUGGGAAAGAUCAUAACCAGCCAUCAACCGCACCCCCAGGAUGAGGAGCAGAGCCCCCAGCCCAGCGCCUCAGGGUACCCCUCCAGGAGGUGGUGGAUGAUGAAGUGUCGGGACCAUCAGCCCCUGGGGUAGAUCCCAGCCCCCCAUGUAGGUAUUUUUGCUGGAAAAGGAAGAGGGAGUGGUUGGACAAAUGUGAGGAGGAGCCAGAGAAGAAGCUCACCCCCGAGCCUGAGGAGACCUGGGUGGUGGAGAUGCUGUGUGGGCUCAAGAUGAAGCUGAAGCAACAGCGAGUGUCACCUCGUGCUCCCUGAGCACCACGAGGCCUUCAAUAAUCAGAUUGAGGAUCCUGUGAUUAAAAGAUUCCUGGCCUGGGACAAAGAUCUGAGGGUGUCAGACAACUAUCUCCUGGCUAUGGUCAGCGUAUUUUAGCCGGGCCAGACCCUUCUCCUGGCAAUACCAACGCAUCUAUUUCUUCCUGGCUCUAUCCAGGCUUAUGACCCAGGGCACUGGGUGUGGGCGUGAGAUCGCGCCCACCUUUCCUAGAGCUCCAGGGACCGUGGAGGCCUGAGGUCAUCGGCCUGAGAGAAGAAUGCUGGGCCCAGGGGAGAUGCAGAUUUUCAGCAAGAACUUUAUUCCAAUGCUAAUGGCAGGCACCAGGAAGGAGGAGAGGAGCCAUUUGUGCAGAUCAUCUAGAAGAACCUGGACUGUUCUAGACGGAGCUGAAUAGAGUGAUCAUGUUGUCCUCCUAGGAUGGGGUGGGGUGGUACUUCUAGGAAUCCAUAGAGAACAGUGAGAAACCAGGGGUGUUUCCGGUUCCACCCUUUCCUGAGGCACCAUCUCCCUUUUUAUAUUGCUGAAUUCCAACCUCCUGGGGCGGAACCUGGAGGUCCUGUUUCUUACGGACUUGGUUGCUACAGUCCAGGAGCAUUUGAAGGCACAGUGCAGACACUCAGAUUGGCAUGGAAUUCUUUGUAAAAUAUGAGUGCCAUAGACUGUAACAGACAGCUUCAUGCACACUAUGCAUUUAUUGGUUUGUUUGGAAAAUGUUGGCCAUCAAAUUAUUAAUAGGUUUAUUUCAAAUAGUUUGGAAAUUGUUGUACUUUUGAAAACAUGCUGUUCCUGUAGAUUUUUUGAUGAGAGUUAUAGCUGUUAUAUAUACAUAAAGAUAAUUUUCUUUUCAUUUUAAGAGAAUCCUUUUUAUCCUAAAUCUUUUAUUAUGUUUAAAUUGUUUUCUGUAUUAUUAUAUGUGCCUCUGAAGCGAGUACACUUUUUAUCUAUGAUACUUACAUAAUAAUCUUUUCCCUUUAUAGCUAUUGGUAGUUCUACUAAGUUCUCAUCAUAGAAAUUUUUAUUUGCUGUUUAGAUUUGUGACUGAAUUGUGAGAAUUCAGUUGUGAUUUUUAACAUGUCUUAGAUAUAUACUAACAUGUCUAAUAAACACUAUAUAUUUUAUUGGUAUAUUUUGAAAAAGAUGGGCAUAGAAUUAUUACUACAUUUAUUUAAAAUAUUUUGAAAAUACUGGUAUUUUUGAAUAGACACCAUUCCUAUAAAGUUGUGAGAUGGGUGUUACAGCUGCUAUAUACACAUAAAUAUAAUUUUGUUUUCCUUUUUAAGAGAGGAUUCUUUUUAUCCUAAAUCUUUUAUCUGUAAAUCUUUGUAUCUAUUAUUACAUGUGCUGCUGAAGGGAGCACUCUUUUUAUCUAUGAUACUUAACAUAUGUAUUACACUUAUAGCUACAUGAUAGUCCCCCUAAAUUCUUAUAAAAAUCAAUUUUUAUUUGAUGUUUACUGUAUGUUUUUGAAAUGUGAGAAUUCAGAUGUAAUUUUUUACCUUGUAUUGGCAUGUUUGUAUGUUACUUUAAAGAGGAUGUGUGUUCUAAAGGAGGACAUGAGCUGUGGGUUUUCAAGAGAACAAGGCAGUGCGUCUCUUGGGGAAACGUAAUAAAGAUGAAGUUUUCUCACCUUCACAGCGAGUGUGA